AAGGGCACCACAAGAACGCGUGGAGCAUGUGGCUUAAUUUGACCCAACGCGGGAAAUCUUACCAGGUCCAGACAUAUUGAGGAUUGACAGGUGAUCACUAAUAUAAUUUUAUAUUAUAUUAGUACAAAUAUGAUAGUCCUUUCAUGAUUAUAUGAUAGGUGGUGCAUGGCCGUUCUUAGUUCGUGGAGUGAUCUGUCUGCUUAAUUGCGUUUCAUAUAAUAUUAAAUAAUAUUAUUCAUUAUAUUAUUUUAAGUGUUCUGCCUUUUUAAGGAUUGUGAACCUUUUAUAAUAUAUGAUAAUAUUAUAUUUAAAUGAAUGCAACGAACGUGACCG
rnacentral:rRNA from 1 species